AGUGUUUGCUCCUGCGGAAUCCACGUGGGAGGCUCUGUUGAUGCGCGCCUCGAUGGGGAAGGCGCAAAAGAGGCGCAAUUGGCGGGCGCGCCUGCCAGGAUCGCCCAGGAGGGGGGCUCCCGCUCCCCAGGAGCCUGUGCAGCUAGAAUUGGGAGAUGAAACCAUCUUGAAAGGAGUGGAUGAGAGCAACGCCCUUGUCCUUCCGUCCCGAAAAACUCAGGAGAAACCAGCCACCUGCCUUAAACGCCCGGGAAAGAAACCCCUGACAAAGAAGCAGAAGAAGAAUUUGCAGAAGAUUUUGGAACAAAAAGCAAAGAAAGAAAAGCGAGCGGAAUUGCUGAAAAAGCUGAGUGAAGUCCAAGUGCCCGAGGCCGAAAUGAAGCUCCUCUAUACCACCUCCAAGCUGGGAACAGGGAAACGGAUGUUCCAGGCGAAAAGGUCAGUCCAAGAAGCGAGUGCCGGCUGGUCGAAGAAAAUCAAAAGCGUUGGGGGCGCCAGAAGGAAAAGAGGCAGACUUGAAUUGGAGGAGGAAGAGGAGGAGAAGGAAGUUGAGGAUUCUGAGGAGGAAGAACCACUUGAACAGGCACUCCCAGAAGCCUCCACCACCACCGAGAUAGAAUCCAGAAAGCUCUCCAAAUCUCCAUUCCCUUUGCCCAAAGAACUUGAUAAAAUUUCCGGGCAAAGAAAUGUGACCACUAAGCCUCUGUCUGAACCUGCAGUGUUUGUUCCGGUGGAUCGAUCCCCCGAUAUUCAGGAAGCCAGGUUGAGACUCCCCAUUCUUGGAGAAGAGCAAGUUGUGAUGGAAGCCGUGCGGGAGAAUCCGAUCGUCAUCAUAUGCGGGGAAACAGGUUGUGGGAAAACCACACAAGUGCCUCAGUUCCUCUAUGAAGCAGGCUACGCAAGCACCGGCGGCAUCAUCGGGGUUACCGAACCGAGGCGUGUAGCAGCGAUGUCUAUGUCUCAGCGCGUCGCAGCAGAAAUGAAUUUAUCCCAACAGGUCAUUUCCUACCAAAUCCGUUACGAGGGGAACGUGACGAAGGACACGAAAAUCAAGUUCAUGACGGACGGUGUGCUGCUGAAAGAAAUCCAGAAGGAUUUUUUGCUGUCCAAGUAUCACGUCGUCAUUCUGGAUGAGGCCCACGAGAGGAGUGUGUACACCGACAUCUUAAUUGGCCUUCUAUCGCGUAUCGUCCCUCUCCGGGCUAAGAAAGGGCAGCCGUUGAAACUGAUCAUCAUGUCUGCGACGCUGCGCGUGGAGGAUUUCACCGCUAACCAGAAACUAUUUCCUGUUCCUCCUCCGGUUAUCCAGGUAGAUGCGAGGCAGUUUCCGGUCACCGUUCAUUUCAACAAGAGGACCCCGUUGGAUGAUUACAGCGGGGAAUGUUUCCGGAAAGUCUGCAAAAUUCACCGAAUGCUUCCUCCAGGAGGGAUUUUGGUGUUCUUAACUGGACAAGCCGAAGUCCAUUCCCUGUGUCGGAGGCUGAGGAAGUCCUUCCCUUUUUGCAAAAAUGCAACGCCAGGCUCUGACGAUGAGUACAGUUCUUUGAAAGAGAUCCGAAGGUUUAAGAAAUCCAGACGGAAAAAGAAGCACGCUCUUCAAGCACUGCCCAAAAUUGAUCUGGAUAAUUAUUCCGUUCUGCCGGUUGACGAAGGAGACGAAGACCGCGAGGCCGCUGAAGACGAUGAAGAAGCAAACUCGGUUGGUUCGGAUCUUGACCUUGAUCUGGGCGAAGAUUGCCUUCAAGAAGGUGAAAAGCCGGAUUCUUCCCACCCACUUUAUGUCCUUCCUCUCUACUCUUUGCUGGCUCCAGAAAAGCAAGCCAAGGUUUUCAGGCCAUCUCCACCUGGGACUAGGCUUUGUGUCGUGGCCACCAAUGUGGCAGAAACGUCUCUGACCAUCCCGGGCAUCAGAUACGUAGUUGAUUGUGGGAAGGUCAAGAAACGCUUCUACGACAAAGUCACCGGCAUCUCAUCCUUCAAGGUUAUGUGGACAUCCCAGGCUUCGGCCAACCAGCGGGCAGGCCGAGCAGGCCGAACGGAGCCAGGCCACUGUUACAGGCUUUAUUCUUCGGCGGUGUUCAGUGAUUUUGAGCAGUUCUCUGCUCCCGAGAUCACCAGGCGACCCGUUGAGGAUUUAAUUCUGCAGAUGAAAGCAUUGAACAUCGAGAAGGUGAUCAAUUUCCCGUUUCCUACCCCGCCCUCCACCGAUGCCCUGAGGGCUGCAGAGGAAUUGCUGAUCGCCCUGGGCGCCUUGAAGGCUCCUGCCACAUCUGGAAGGUUGGAAAAGCUGCAGGAAGCCAAGUUCAGCUGCCCCAUCAGCCCUUUGGGCAUCCUCAUGGCCUCCUUCCCGGUGGCCCCACGUUACGCCAAGAUGCUUGCCUUGAGCCAGCAGCACCACUGCCUGCCCUACACCAUCGCCUUAGUCUCCGCCUUGACGGUGAGGGAGCUGUUUGAAGAGUUCAACAGGCCUGCCCUGAAUGAAGAAGAGCAGGAGACGCUCAAAGGCAAGAGAGCCCGUGUGGCACAGAUGCAAAGGAUUUGGGCUGGCCAAGGACCUUCUCAGAAGCUGGGAGACCUCAUGGUGCUGCUUGGAGCGGUGGGUGCUUGUGAAUUUGCAGGAUCCACUCCUCAGUUCUGUAGCACCAACGGCCUGCGCUACAAGGCCAUGGUGGAAAUCCGGCGGUUGCGUGGGCAGCUCACAACGGCAGUGAACGCCGUCUGCCCAGGGGCCGACCUCUUCGUGGACCCCCAAAUGAAGCCCCCCACAGAAGAACAGGUCACUUUCUUGAGGCAGAUCGUCCUGGCCGGAUUGGGGGACCAUGUUGCCCGAAGGAUCCAGGCUCACGAGCUCCUUGACGAGAAGUGGAAAAACAGCUACAAGACGCCACUCCUGGAGGAUCCGGUCUUCAUCCACCCUACCUCCGUUCUGUUUAAGCAGCUCCCUGAGUUUGUGGUGUAUCAGGAAAUCGUCGAGAGCACCAAGAUGUACAUGAAAGGGAUUUCAGCCAUCGAAGCUGAGUGGGUGCCUCUUCUCCUGCCCCCCUACUGCCAUUUCGAAAAGCCUCUGGAUGACCCUGCCCCGUUCUACUGCACAGAAACAGGCCACGUCCGUUGCCACAGGCCCAGCACCUUCUAUCGGGUCGGAUGGCAGCUUCCUGCAGUGGAGGUGGACUAUCCCGAAGGCCUCGAUCGCUUCAAACAUUUCGCCAAGUUUUUCCUGGAAGGACAGGUUGUAAAACGGUUGGCAGCCUACAGCCGUUGUCUGCUGUCCAGUCCGGUGACGAUGCUAAAGACAUGGUCCAAACUUCAGCCAAGGACAGAAUCUUUGCUUCAAGCUCUCGUUUCCGAAAACGUUGAUAACCGGGAUGCUUUGCAGCUGGCCUGGGAGAAAAACCCAAAAUAUUUGCUGGCUGAAUAUUGCCAGUGGGUUCCGAAAGCGACCCACGAGGAAAUUGCUAAAAUUUGGCCUCCGGUGCAUUGAGGCAGUGAAUGUUUGAGCCAGGAACUCUCAGAGCUUCCGUUCUUCCCGAAAAUGCCAUGAAGACUCUCCUAGGAAAAAGCAAGAGCCGUAACUGCACAAGGAAGGAGCAGACUAAUUCAGCCUUUCUAUAUUUGUCAUCCCAAAGAGCAACACGUGACCUGCUGAGUAGCAACAUAGGUGACCCGAGGCGGCUUACAAUGAAACAAGAUACAAUGAAGCGGAUAAGAAAAAGAAAGAAACCUAACAUGCAACCCUGCCUGUUCUCCAGAGAAGAUGGCAGGGGGGAGGCUACAAGAUGUUUUUGCCACCCCACCCCCCAGCUGUCCAGAGGCUAAUUAACCCCCUCCCCACUUGUAAACGCAGAGGCAAAUCCAGGGGUGCUCCUAUGGAAGAAAAGGGGGGGAGUUAUAAUCCAUUGGGACAGGUUGCAAUGUGCAAACCCAGAAAAAGGAGGGCGGCGCCGCCUUGAAAAGAAGAACGAAGAAGGAGGGUGACAUCAGCCGAAAUAGCUCAGUUGGGAGAGCGUUAGACUGAAGAUCUAAAGGUCCCUGGUUCGAUCCCGGGUUUCGGCAGAUUCUUUUUUUUUUCUUUUUUGGUGUGUGUGUGUUUGUGUGUGGUGU